GACAUUGUGUCAAAAUAUUUUACAGAUUAUAUUUUAGACAAAUUAUAUUCGUUUGUUAUUGCGUUUAUCUUUUCAGUUUAAGCAAUUAAUCCGAAAUAACUUUGGAAAACUUCACAGCUUAAAUGCCACAAAGCAGAACUCUUAUAAUGAUUACCAAAGGGCCUCAUAAAACUGCCAACUGGGCGCAUUCUUCAACAAGAACUUCAACAACAGGUUCCUCAACCAACCGACAGCACCAGGGGUUCAGCAAAAGUUAAAUUAUAAGCCGCCAAAUGAUGUCUGUCGCCUAUGCAAACACACAGCCUGCCAUCCAAAAACUUCAGAGCCUGGAAUGAAAGGCGUCUGCCAAGCUCCUCCCUAAAGUGGAGGCACUUAAGAUGCUUAGCGCCAUGGCAAGCGAAAAUAAUGACGCUCAUAAAAACUAACUAAACAGAAAAAUAAAGCAAACAGCAUCAAAGGACGACAACGUGAAAUACAGUUAUAUAGACGGCAACUCAGAACUUAGACCGAAACGCUCGGGUUUUUGUGUAUAGAGCGGUAGUUGAUGGAAGCCUGUUGGUUGUUUUAGUAUACCCUGUAGAUGCGGUGUUCUAAUGGGGCAUACGCGGUUUUAACUACAUUAUAUUAUGCCUUUAGAGUUUGUGAGUAGAGCGGUAGAUGAUAGAAGCCUGUUGAUUGUUUUAAUACUUAUAUACCCUCCAUAUGCCACUCCUGAGGGGCAUACACCUGUAACUACAUUAUAUUACAUUUUAUUUAAAAAAAAGAGAUUCAUGAAUACUACAAUUUUGGUAUACUUUUAGACAAGA